rnacentral:rRNA from 1 species
AGAACGAACGCUGGCGGCAUGCCUAACACAUGCAAGUCGAACGCUUCCGGGGCUUCGGUCGCGGAGGAGUGGCGCACGGGUGAGUAGCGCGUGGGAACCUGCCCUGUUGUGGGGGAUAACCGAGGGAAACUUCGGCUAAUACCGCAUACGCCCCGGGACUUGGUCUUCGGAUUAGGUCUGGGGGGAAAGAUUGAUCGCAGCAGGAGGGGCCCGCGUCGGAUUAGCUGGUUGGUGGGGUAACGGCUCACCAAGGCGAUGAUCCGUAGCUGGUCUGAGAGGAUGAUCAGCCACACGGGGACUGAGGUACGGCCCCGACUCCUACGGGAGGCAGCAGCUAGGAAUCUUGGGAAUGGGCGAAAGCCUGACCCAGCAACGCUGCGUGGGCGAUGAAGGCCUUCGGGUCGUAAAGCCCUUUUGUAGGGGAAGAUUAUGACGGUACCUGCGAAUAAGCCACGGCUAACUACGUGCCAACAGCCGC